CCUACGGGUGACUGCAGUGGUGAAUAUUGCACAAUGGGGGAAACCCUGAUGCAGCGACGCCGCGUGAGUGAUGAAGUAAUUCGUUAUGUAAAGCUCUAUCAGCAGGGCAGAAAAUGACGGUACCUGAGUAAGAAGCCCCGGCUAACUACGUGCCAGCAGCCGCGGUAAUACGGAGGGGGCAAGCGUUAUCCGGAUUUACUGGGUGUAAAGGGAGCGUAGACGGGAUUGCAAGUCUGGAGUGAAAGGCGGGGGCUUAACCACCGGACUGCUAUUGAAACUGUACGGCUGGAGUGCAGGAGAGGUAAGUGGAAUUCUUGGUGUAGGGGUGAAAUGCGUAGAGAUUAGGAGGAACACUCGUUGCGAAGGCGACUUACUGGACUGUAACUGACGUUGAGGCUCGAAAGCGUGGGGAGCAAACAGGAUUAGAUACCCGAGUAGUC
rnacentral:rRNA from 1 species